AGAUUCCUGCUGUACCUGCCCCAGCUUUAACCAAAGCCAUUUCUUACAUUUAUUCCAGAGGGAAGGAUUUCUUUUCUUAUUUCCCGGGAAAGAAACACGAAGCAGGCCACUUUUUGCUCGGUUUAUCUGGUGAAAACUGAAACGAAGCCUGAUCCGCCUGAGUAGAGCCAAGGCGACACCAGAGUCCAGAGCUUCGAAGAACACACGUGGAGUAUGACGGAACAGGCAUCCAGGGAAGGAACGGAGUGAGAGCCAACACCCCCCAACAGUGCAGGUCUGCUGCUUCUGCCUCUGAAGGUGCUGUUGGAUGUGGUGGAGAAAAGACCUCCGACCAGGGGCUGUCCAGGCUCAUCACUGGCCCCCGGGGCCCCUGGCUUCCCCCCACCCCGUCCCCCCCAACCAAAGUGAGCUUCACAGAACUGCCUUCGCUGAUUUCCUAUUUCACACCACCACCCUCUUGGGAAGCAGAAUUCUGUAGAAAGUCCUCAUGCCUUCUUCCUUGUAUUGCUUUUGGUGAAUAUUCCUCAAAACGCAUGUUAUGAUACCAGUGUGAUCCCCCAGCUUUGCAUCAAGAAUCAUCGUUAGCCGUUUUUACUCUGAGUUUGUUGGUUUGCUUUGUUCUUUAGUUUAAUCUGUUUUGGU